CAGCUAAAUAUAAUUCUGAUACAACACUUAAUCCAGUCAACAGUAAAGGAAAUGUGGUCUAGUUCAUUCUCAAUUAUUCACAUAAAUAAGUUUAGAUAACUGAAUGGAAUAAUGUGUUUGAACUUAAUACAAUUCAAAGCACUGUUGCUUAAUGAUUUGAACAAUACAUGAAUAUAUUGAGAAUUCACAAUGCCGACCUUUUUUCGAUCUGACAGCUGAUCCCAGUUUGACCCAACUUCUUAAAGCAACAAUGAAGGUCAUGUGACCAUUAUAAUAGGCAUAUCUGGGGCUUUUGAUUGGUUCAACUGUGGCCAGUCGUAUCAUCUCAAAUCAUAACAAGGUAUAAUACAGAAGUGAAAUGGGAUAAUAUACGACACAGUAUUUACUUGAUUAUUCUGAGAAGAUUGUAAAUGUGAAAACUGUGAUAUAUGAUAUAUAAACUUCCAAGAUAUUCCGAAUUUAAUGAGGAUCAUAGCACUGUUUUUGCUAUUUAUCAUGGGAACAUUGGAUACGUUUUGUGAAAAUGAAAAACAUAAUAAAGGUUCAUUUCAUCUAGACGUGAAGGAUAGUCUUGAAAACGUUGAUCCAAAAAUGCAAAAUGCCAUGAUUUGGGAGAAAAGUAAAGAAAAAUCCGAAAGUUUAUUUAAUCUUGAAAAUGAUAGAUCCCAAAUUGAAUGCACAAAGAACGGUACGAUAAAAGUAGAAUUAACAAUGACCGUCCUAGUAACAGACAAUCCGAGUAAUGUGCUACUGUGUGUAAACCAUCUUAAUCAAACCAAACAAAGAACAGAACAGGAAUGUCAGCAAUUUAAAUACCUGAAAUCUCAAGCAGGUUAUGUAACUAGUAUUCAAUUAAAUUGUAUUUAUAAUGUUAUAGAAUGUGACAAGAUCCACGUAACAGUAGUGGGGACAGACAUGAUUAAUAGAUACAGGGUUUUCAACAGACUUCUUAUGUAUUAUAUAUAAUGUCACAUAAAAUUAUUGACAAUGCGGUACAUAAAGUGUACCUUAAAUGUAUAUAGAUCAGGUCGUUCGUUUUCAUGUUUGAAUUGUUUCACAUUUUGACCCUUUAUAGCUUUCAAUAUGGUAUGGGUUUUGCUCGUUGUUGAAAGUUUUAUAUUGGCCUUUUCAAUCCAUUAUGCGUAUACAUACAGAGAUCCAAAAAUCUAGAAAAAGUAAAUGAACGUCAAAUGUACCGGGUCCGGGUGCUUAGCUCAGUACCUUUCUACCAUACAUUGACCACCCUCGUAAAUCUAUUAAAAAGAGACAAAUCAGUGUUUUAGACAAAACCUUAAGGAAUCACAUGGACUCCAAAAGAAACGAGACCGGUGCGUCUACAGGGUACACGUCUCCUGUUAUGCAUGUUCCACAUAAUCAGUUAAAGAAGAAUGUUAUAUUCUGGACUGCUAGUACUUAAAUAAACCACAAUACAACUUAUAUUCUUAACUUUUGCAUUUUGAAAAGUUUAACUACAGUAUAUGAACAUCAAAUUAUUUAUGGGUUUCUUUCUUCCAAAUUAAUCAUGAAUAAAAUAUAUAUUUUAUGUU